ACCAAAAAUCUAGCCUCCAAAACUCAUCUCACCAAAACUUCACAACUCCACGAAAAACUGAUCUCAGUCAAAACCCUCCUCCGCCCCAAAACCCAUCUCCGCCAAUGGAGACAGCGGCGGCGGUUUCUUCCCAGCAGCCUUCCCUCUCCAAUCCUUCGCCAGUAACGACCCUUCCCAAGCUCUUCGUGUCUCUUUCAAUGUCUCUCUCAUCCGUUCACCUCAUUUUCCCAUUUCUUCCCGGAAGCACAGGGCAGUUUGUUGUAGUUGGAGCUCUCCUGAGGCUGGCUCCUGUGCUCAUAGAAAAGGGAUUUAUUAAAUUAGAUCAUUUUUUUUCCUUAAAGUUGUUCUUGAAAGACAUUUUUUUCUCUUCUAAUGUUGAUCUGAACUUGAUUGACAGGGAUGAUCUGAUAGUGAAUUUAUGCCUAUGCCAAUCAAUUUUCUCUUGGAUUCUUUAUCAUUGACCUUUGCUACCAUUUAAUGGGAGCCCAAUUGGUUUGCAUUUUAUUCUCUUAAUCUAAAAGGGUGAUUGCCAUGACUAGCACAUAGCACAUUAGGCAUUAUAAUACCUAACCAUCUUGAAAUGGUCAGCACUUUCUACACCAUUAACUUCCUUGUAAAAUGUCAUGUAUCUAUGUAAAUAUUUGGAUAUUCUUUAAAAUUGAAAAAGUGAUAUGCUUAUGCAGGAUGCAUGUCCAUUAAUUGCAUUAUUAUAUUUGUGAAUAUUUGUGCAUAUUUCAUUUAUAUAUGAAAAAGGCUGGCUAUUGCCAAAAGUUGUGACUAGUUAGAAACAUUUCACUUGUUGCAGUUACAAUAUACUUCAAAGAAAAAAUCAGUCGAAUGACUAGCUGCGUAAGCUACCGGAAAUAGUCAAGCUCUUGGAGGAAGUGUAACAGGGAGGAAUAUCUUGCCCAUCAAUUGCUCGACGGAAUGUUCCUUGCGCUAAGUUGAUGUCAAUGCCAUGAUAACGAUCAAGGAGCGGUAUCAGAUCUAGAGGAAUUGGAUGGGAGAUCCAUGUUCCCCUAGUGCUUUUGUUUGGGAUGGACUAAAUUGUACUUAUAACUAGUCAAAUUCUCCAAGGGUCACUGCUUUGUGAGUUCUACGAGGUCAUUUAUCUCAAAUUAUUUAUCAUGAAAUACUACUGGGGCCAGCCGUUUGAAAAUUCUGUAAUAUUUUUAAUAGUCAUUAUUGUUCUGCAAUAAUCUAUCAUCAAGUGGAUUGACCAAAUAAAUAACCAA